rnacentral:lncRNA from 1 species
GUGGCUUUUACAGAACCUUAUAGCAGUGCAAUCGAACGAUCUCAGAACUCAUGGUAGAUCUUUAACAAAAAAAUUACACUUUGUUGAUGGAAAAAAAAAAAAAUGGUUUCUUGAAGAAUUGUGAGGUAUAACAAUAAUUGUGAGGUAUUUAAGGCUCAUGUUUUAUUUUGUUUUGUAGGUCUCUCCUAAAGACGAACCUAAAGCCCCAACAGGUAAAUCACUCUGGACAUUUUUAUAGUGUCAUAAUAAUAAAUCUCGUUUGUGAGAUUAGGAAUUUGUAUUAAAGGGGUCAUCCGAUGCUACAUGCACUUUUACAAGUUGUUUGAACUGAAAUGUGUGUUGGCAGUGUGUGUACACAACCACCCUAUAAUGAUAAAAAUCCACCCAGUGUUUUUUUUUAAUCUACUAAAAUCUUUACCCGUUUCUCAAAUCGAAGCGAUCUCGAGGGGCGGGGUCAACAGAGCUCAUUAACAUUUAAAGGAAAAUGCUACAAAACGGCUUGCUAUGAAAAGAGCUGUUUUUGGCAUCCGAUGAUCCCUUUAAGUGCUAAUUUCUCUCUGUCUCUGAAACAGAGCAAGUUGGGUCUAAGAUACCACGCCUGGAGAGUCCUAUGCCCCCUCUUCCUGUGUCCCAACCCCCAGAUCGUAAGGCUUCAUCUGCCAUCCCAGCUCCUCCCGCUGAAGCAGAACCGGCCACAUCAGCUGACAUGGAUCCAGCACAGGGCCCGGCUCCUCCUCUGCCGCACGGGGCCCCGCCCCCUCUGCCUCACUGCCCGCCACCCCCUCCUCCCUAAACCCCCGCUCUGUUUUAAAAAAAAAAAAAAAACUCAAAAAAUGGACCAUACAACUUGUGAUCUACGACUUGGUCCAUAUGAUGUUUCUGAAGUCAUAUGAUCAUACAGGUUUGGAAUGGUAUGAGGGUGGAUAAAUAAAAACAGAGUUUUAUGUUUUGGGGAAACUAUCCCUUUAAAUUCGUUCACAUCACCACUUACAUUCCAAACCCAUUUUUGUGAAUGAAUUAUGAAUUCUUGGUUGUACAGAGAACCUUUUUUUAAUGUUAUGUAUUCACUCUCCUUUGGCUUUGCUUUUUAGUUGGUGUGUUGCAGAAUUCAUCUUUUUUUCUUAGCAACAUGGGGAAAAAUAUCCCACAAACCAUCCUUAGCAGUCCUUUUAUUCAGAUGCAUUUCUGGCAUCUUUGACUGACCUGAGAUCAAGUCCGUUGAUUGAUGGACAUGUUAGUUCCAUAGUUUCCCGUAUGUGCCUUAGUUUGGUUAGUAUUUAAUCAGCAAAGGACUUGCUGUGCUCAACCACCUUGUGUUUGCCUGUUGAUUUUUUUUAGGCAGAUAAUAAAAGUAUUUUUCCCCUUGUGCAUUUCCUGAAUUGUGUCUUGUUUUAAAUUGCAUCACUGUCAUGCUAUCAAUU